GAUGAACGCUGGCGGCGUGCCUAAUACAUGCAAGUCGAGCGAACGCACGAGAAGCUUGCGUCUCUGAUGUUAGCGGCGGACGGAUGAGUAACGCGUGGAUAACCUACCUCUUAUACGUGGAUAACUACGGGAAACCGCUUCUGAUACCGGAUAAUAUUAUGAACCGCAUGAUUCAAAAGUUAAUGACACUUUGGCUGUCACUUAGAGAUGGAGCCGUGCUGGAUUAGCUAGUUGGUAAGGUACCGGCUUACCAAGGCAACGAUGCGUAGCCGAUCUGAGAGGGUGAUCGGCCACACUGGAACUGAGACACGGUCCAGACUCCUACGGGAGGCAGCAGUAGGGAAUAUUGGGCAAUGGGCGCAAGCCUGACGGAGCCAUGCCGCGUGAGUGAUGAAGGUCUUCGGAUCGUAAAACUCUUUUAUUAGGGAAGAAAAUCUGUGUAAGUAACCGUGCAUAUCUUGACGGUACCUAAACAGAAAGCACCGGCUAACUACGUG
rnacentral:rRNA from 1 species